GUCUCUUCGGGGAUGAUUAAACCGGCGCACGGGUGAGUAACACGUGAGUGACCUGCCUUUUAGACUGGAACAACUUACCGAAAGGUGAGCUAAUGCCGGAUGAGUUAUAUAAGUGCAUGUUUAUAUAGGAAAAGUUGGGGAGACCUGACGCUGAAAGAUGGACUCGCGUCCCAUUAGCUAGUUGGUAGGGUAAUGGCCUACCAAGGCGACGAUGGGUAGCCGGCCUGAGAGGGUGGCCGGCCACACUGGGACUGAGACACGGCCCAGACUCCUACGGGAGGCAGCAGUGGGGAAUUUUGCGCAAUGCUCGUAAGAGUGACGCAGCGACGCCGCGUGAAUGACGAAGGCCUUCGGGUCGUAAAGUUCUUUCGACAGGGAAGAAAAUGCCUAUAAGUAACUGUGUAUGUAUUGACGGUACCUGUAUAAGCAGCCCCGGCUAACUCCGUGCCAGCAGCCGCGGUAAUACGGAGGGGGCGAGCGUUGUUCGGAGUGACUGGGCGUAAAGAGCACGUAGGCGGUGUUGUAAGUCAUUAGUCAAAGACUAGAGCUCAACUUUAGUAAGGCUAGUGAUACUAUAAUACUAGAGUAUCAGAGAGGAUUGCAGAAUUCCUGGUGUAGCGGUGAAAUGCGUAGAUAUCAGGAGGAAUACCGUUAGCGAAGGCGGCAAUCUGGCUGGGAACUGACGCUGAGGUGCGAAAGCGUGGGUAGCAAACAGGAUUAGAUACCCUGGUAGUCCACGCUGUAAACGAUGGAUGCUAGGUGUUGGGCUUUUAAGUUCAGU
rnacentral:rRNA from 1 species